rnacentral:rRNA from 1 species
UACAGAGGUCUCAAGCGUUGUUCGGAUUCAUUGGGCGUAAAGCGUCCGCAGGUGGCAGUUCAAGUCUGCUGUCAAAGACCGGGGCUUAACUUCGGAAAGGCAGUGGAAACUGAACAGCUAGAGUAUGGUAGGGGCAGAGGGAAUUCCUGGUGUAGCGGUGAAAUGCGUAGAGAUCAGGAAGAACAUCGGUGGCGAAGGCGCUCUGCUGGACCAUAACUGACACUCAGGGACGAAAGCUAGGGGAGCGAAUGGG